rnacentral:rRNA from 1 species
CCUACGGGAGGCAGCAGUGAGGAAUUAUUGGUCAAUGGAGGCAACUCUGAACCACCAAGUCGCGUGAAGGAUGAAGUCUUAUGGAUUGUAAACUUCUUUUGCAAGGGAAUAAAGUGGGGGACGUGUCCUCCUUUGCAUGUACCUCGCGAAUAAGGAUCGGCUAACUCCGUGCCAGCAGCCGCGGUAAUACGGAGGAUCCGAGCGUUAUCCGGAUUUAUUGGGUUUAAAGGGUGCGCAGGCGGGAUGUUAAGUCGGCGGUGAAAUUUUGCAGCUCAACUGUAAAAGUGCCUUCGAUACUGGCUUUCUUGAGUGUGGAUGAAGUAGGCGGAAUUUGUGGUGUAGCGGUGAAAUGCUUAGAUAUCACGAGGAACUCCGAUUGCGCAGGCAGCUUACUAAACCACUACUGACGCUCAUGCACGAAGGCGUGGGGAUCAAACAGGAUUAGAUACCCUGGUAGUCCACGCAGUAAACGAUGAUUACUAGUUGUUUGCGAUACAAUGUAAGCGACUGAGCGAAAGCGUUAAGUAAUCCACCUGGGGAGUACGUUCGCAAGAAUGAAACUCAAAGGAAUUGACGG